rnacentral:tRNA from 1 species
ACCUGGCUGGCUCAGUGGGUAGAGCAUGUGACUCUUGAUCUCAGGGUCGUGAGUUCAAGUCCCAUGCUGGGUG